rnacentral:rRNA from 1 species
UUGGAGGGCAAGUCUGGUGCCAGCAGCCGCGGUAAUUCCAGCUCCAAUAGCGUAUAUUAAAGUUGUUGCAGUUAAAAAGCUCGUAGUUGAAUUUCGGGGUUAGUAGGUUGGUCAUGCCUCCGGUAUGUACUGGCCUCACUGAUUCCUCCUUCCUGAUGAACCGUAAUGCCAUUAAUUUGUGUUGCGGGGAAUUUGGACUGUUACUUUGAAAAAAUUAGAGUGUUUAAAGCAGGC